CUGCUCGCUUAGGCAGCACAUAUACUAAAAUAGAACAAUACAGAGAUUAGUAUGGCCCCUGCACAAGGAUGACACGCAAAUUCAUGAAGCAUUCCAUAUUUUU